AUUAAUUAAAUUAGUAUUUGACUUUUUAAUCCUUAAAGAGAUAAAUUAAUUUACUCUUUAAAAUUUUAUUUCUAAUGGCAUACCUAUGUAAUUACUUACAAAAAUUAAGGUUACAUUUAAAAUGUACUUCCCAAAUAAUAUAGUAGGAUUCAUGUCUUAAAUCAUUAGUAAA
rnacentral:sRNA from 1 species